rnacentral:rRNA from 1 species
UACGUAGGGGGCAAGCGUUAUCCGGAAUUAUUGGGCGUAAAGAGCUCGUAGGCGGUUUGUCGCGUCUGCCGUGAAAGUCCGGGGCUCAACUCCGGAUCUGCGGUGGGUACGGGCAGACUAGAGUGAUGUAGGGGAGACUGGAAUUCCUGGUGUAGCGGUGAAAUGCGCAGAUAUCAGGAGGAACACCGAUGGCGAAGACAGGUCUCUGGGCAUUAACUGACGCUGAGGAGCGAAAGCAUGGGGAGCGAACAGG